ensembl:lncRNA
AAUGUUGUUUGGCAGAUUAAUGUCACUUUUUCUUACUCCCUCAGUCCUUAAUGAGCUUGUGGGAUUAAAUACCGUUGUGGAAUUUAAGCUAAAAUACAAAAAUAUUUCAGUAAAGAGGUGAGCAGACUGACAGUGAUGGAGAGAGAGCGAGAGGGGACAAAGAACACAAGAUGGAGAGAAAUGAGGGAGAUAGAAAAAUCUGAGGUAAAUAGGUUGAUAUUUCAUACGUUGACUCAUCCCAGGAUCAAACAGAGGUAAAUAGGUUGAUAUUUCAUACGUUGACUCAUCCCAGGAUCAAACAGAGGUAAAUAGAUUGAUAUUUCAUACGUUGACUCAUCCCAGGAUCAAACAGAGGUAAAUAGGUUGAUAUUUCAUACGUUGACUCAUCCCGGGAUCAAACAGAGUUAAAUAGGUUGAUAUUUCAUACGUUGACUCAUCCCGGGAUCAAACAGAGUUAAAUAGGUUGAUAUUUCAUACGUUGACUCAUCCCAGGAUCAAACAGAGGUAAAUAGGUUGAUAUUUCAUACGUUGACUCAUCCCAG